rnacentral:lncRNA from 1 species
ACAAGAUGUUAGACAAAAGGAACUAAAAGAAAAGGAUCAAGACUUACUACAGCAUGCUGACGUUGUUUCUUAUAUUAUACUUGAACAAGCUGAAUAUAAACUGAGAGAUGCUAUCAGUAGCAAAGAGAAGGAACGAAUUGAAUUAAAACAAAAACAAUCAAUGAUGAAAG